rnacentral:rRNA from 1 species
GACGAACGCUGGCGGCGUGCCUAAUACAUGCAAGUAGAACGCUGAAGCUUGGUGCUUGCACCGAGCGGAUGAGUUGCGAACGGGUGAGUAACGCGUAGGUAACCUGCCUGGUAGCGGGGGAUAACUAUUGGAAACGAUAGCUAAUACCGCAUAAGAGUAGAUGUUGCAUGACAUUUGCUUAAAAGGUGCAAUUGCAUCACUACCAGAUGGACCUGCGUUGUAUUAGCUAGUUGGUGAGGUAACGGCUCACCAAGGCGACGAUACAUAGCCGACCUGAGAGGGUGAUCGGCCACACUGGGACUGAGACACGGCCCAGACUCCUACGGGAGGCAGCAGUAGGGAAUCUUCGGCAAUGGACGGAAGUCUGACCGAGCAACGCCGCGUGAGUGAAGAAGGUUUUCGGAUGUAAAGCUCUGUUGUAAGAGAAGAACGAGUGU